GAGUUUGAUCAUGGCUCAGAUUGAACGCUGGCGGCAUGCCUUACACAUGCAAGUCGAACGGCAGCACGGGAGCAAUCCUGGUGGCGAGUGGCGAACGGGUGAGUAAUAUAUCGGAACGUGCCCAGUCGUGGGGGAUAACGUAGCGAAAGCUACGCUAAUACCGCAUACGAUCUACGGAUGAAAGCGGGGGACUCGCAAGAGCCUCGCGCGAUUGGAGCGGCCGAUAUCAGAUUAGGUUGUUGGUGAGGUAAAAGCUCACCAAGCCUGCGAUCUGUAGCUGGUCUGAGAGGACGACCAGCCACACUGGAACUGAGACACGGUCCAGACUCCUACGGGAGGCAGCAGUGGGGAAUUUUGGACAAUGGACGCAAGUCUGAUCCAGCAAUGCCGCGUGCAGGACGAAGGCCUUCGGGUUGUAAACUGCUUUUGUACGGAACGAAACGGUCUUCUUUAAUACAGAGGGCUAAUGACGGUACCGUAAGAAUAAGCACCGGCUAACUACGUGCCAGCAGCCGCGGUAAUACGUAGGGUGCGAGCGUUAAUCGGAAUUACUGGGCGUAAAGCGUGCGCAGGCGGUUAUAUAAGUCAGAUGUGAAAUCCCCGGGCUCAACCUGGGACCUGCAUUUGAGACUGUAUAGCUAGAGUACGGUAGAGGGGGAUGGAAUUCGCGUGUAGCAGGAAAUGCGU
rnacentral:rRNA from 1 species